UAGCGUAGGAGACGAGCGUUGUCCGGAAUCACUGGGCGUAAAGCGCGUGUAGGGCGGAUCGGCAAGUCUGCUGUGAAAGCUCCUGGCUUAACCGGGAGUGGUCGGUGGAAACUGCCAGUCUGGAGGACGGUAGGGGGUAGGUAGAAUUCCCGGUGUAGUGGUGAAAUGCGUAGAGGAUCGGGAGGAAUACCUGUGGCGAAGGCGGCCUACUGGGCCGGACC
rnacentral:rRNA from 1 species